AAAAUCUUCAAGAAAUGGCUGAGAUGCACCAGGAAUCCAACAAACGAGGUGAAAAAUAAUAAUGACCAUCAAUUAGAAUGAUGUGAAUGUUCUCAUCACACCUCACAACAAGAUGAACACAGCAAACAUCUAAUCAUCAAAGUACAUAACUCUCCUUUUGGGCACCAUCUUUUUUUCAAUUUUUUCUAGUUGUCUUGUAAAGCGAAACUUAUCCAAGGAAGCAUUAU
rnacentral:lncRNA from 1 species